UUGUCAAAUAUAAAGAAACUAGAGAUUCUUGAGCUAAAGACAAGAAAAUAAGAAAGAUAAUGAUAAAAGUAAAAAAGGCCUAAUUCUUGCAUCCAUAUAUACUAUAUAACUAAAGAAUUAUGUGGCAACAUUCUAUAGGUUAUUUGACAUGUAUCCAACUUACUAGAUACGUGUCUAACUUGCAAAAAAGUUUCGAAUAUGUGUGCCACAUAACCCACUUAUACUACAAGUAGCCAACAUGUGCAACACGUGUCUAACUUGUUGGCCAAAUUUUCAAUCUAUUAAUUAUCUAAAAAUACUUAUAAAAUUAAUUUGUAUCUAUAAAGCUUCUAAAAAGCUUAUUUAUAAGUGUCACGGACACAAAAUACAGACUUGAAAUCUAACAAGAAGUUCAAGAAAAAGUGGCAGAACUAGAUUAAACAGAUGAAUACAAGAACAACACCAGAAAGGUGAGCUAGAACUCCAAGAGAUGUGUUGUCGAGACUGAAGAACUCUUCAACCUCGAUCCCUAUAUAUACUCCUACUUAGGAAGCUUCUCAAGCUACUUCUAUUAACUAGGAAGCUUCUAGAAGGUUCUAGAGGCUUCCUUUCUAGAAGGUUCUAGAAACUUCUCGAG
rnacentral:lncRNA from 1 species